rnacentral:misc_RNA from 1 species
GCUUAUAGUAGCGCUUAGUUUCACAUAUUACCGGAGAGCCCUCUAAAAUACGAGAUCAGCAUCGCAUGAUCGCAUCUGCCAUUGUUUCACCAAAAGAAUUUCGCAAUGUUCUGAAUUCCCAACCCCGACACUUCUCACAUUUCAAAAUCAUCAGAAAUGAAAGGGAGACCGCCCACCUUCUUAGCGCCGUACGAGCUGGUGUCACCCCACCGGGCGUCGACUUGCGUGGGGCUCGCUGCUGCCCUUGGCGACAACCGCCUUGGCGUCGCCGCGGCCGCCGAAUCCACCUCGUCUCCUCCUCCACCUGUAUUCCCCGCCUCCUCCUCCGCUGUCACCACAUUGGAGCUGUACGGAGAGUCCGCGUCGUCCCCCUCCAACCGCACCACUUCACCUUCCUUCUCCUCCUUCCCUGCCUCCACCGCAACCGCCCGGCGCCCGACGCCGUUCCCAGCCGGCCCGCCACCGGCGCCGUUCGCCGCCGAGGGACCGUCCGAGUACCUGUAGUCGAGCGGCAUCGACCGCGCCGACUGCAGCUUGCUGGGCCCGCCGCGCGCCCGCAGGGCCGUGGAUUUCCGCACCGACCUCACCUCCACCGACGCCAUCGUCUCGGCGGCCCGCCGGACGGCACUGCGUCCGGAAUCCAACUCACGGGCCACAACGAAACCGCAGGUCCCCUCGGGAUCUCCGCUCCGACGACCUCAAAUCGAUCCCCAAACCCCUCCAGCAGUCGCCAAUCCACGCUCACAGUCACACCCAGCAAAACACUAAACACCUCACAAAAACCGCCAGAAACAACAGCCGAUCUCGCUGGCCGCCAACCCGCCCGCACAACCGCGGGAAUGCCAAUAGAGGCGCCGCGAGCCCGACCCACCCUGCUGGACGCGAAUUGCGCGGGCCUCGGCUGCCCGCCUCCGCAGAUUGCGAUCCAUCUCCAAGCUUCAAGGGAUCGAAGAUCAAGCGUUGGCGACCAAGUGAUAUAGCUCUUCGAGUUCUACGAGAUUGAAGACCCUGAGCAUCUGUUUGGUGAAGGUUGCCUUUGGUGCAAUCUAUGCUCAGGUAAAGAAGAAGGCGUCGAGGCGAAUCUCCAGGGGUUCCAGGAUUUUGACGAGUUCGAGGAUUAGGUUAGCGAUCUCCCCCAGUCAGCUGCCUGUGGUGGGUUGUUUACGUUGGCUACGUUUCGAUUCUGUGUACUUUGAUUUAUAUUAUGUAAAUGGCUCUAGUCUGUAAUAUUAUUACUUACUCUUUAUUGUAAUUCGAAGCAUUGUGCUAUGAUGAGUC